GACGUAGGGCGCGAGCGUUGUCCGGAUUUAUUGGGCGUAAAGAGCUCGUAGGCGGCUCAUUGCGUCAACCGUGAAAACCAGCAGCUCAACUGUUGGCUUGCGGUUGAUACUGAAGAUCUUGAGUUCGGGAGAGGUGAGUGGAACUGCGAGUGUAGAGGUGAAAUUCGUAGAUAUUCGCAAGAACACCAGUGGCGAAGGCGGUCGACUGGGCCAGUACUGACGCUGAGGCGCGACAGCGUGGGGAGCAAACAGG
rnacentral:rRNA from 1 species